ensembl:lncRNA
GCAACCAAAGAGAGGAAAGUCUGCACUUCAUUGUGCGAGGUUGGGUUCCAGGCUGCCAUUUAAUAUCAAAUGUAGUGUACGGUAUCCUACAUAAUACUACUAUCAAAGAAAACCACGGAUGAAUUAUUCAUUCUGUAAAAGCUCCUGAACCAGAUGUCCGUCACAACAUUUCUUCUCGUUAGUCCAAUUAAACCAACGAGGCCGCGAAAGGGAGACAACUGGGCUUAAUUGGAGAUGCACAGUGAGGCUGCUGCAGACUGACACCUCUGAGGUCUCCCUUCUCAGCAGAUCACCUGAGCCCUGAUGUGUGCAGCUUCCCGCGCACGUGUGUAAAAUAGACCUUUACCUAGCGAGUGUUUUGCCACCAGGUCUGUGCGUUGAUGUGAAAACACGAGGGAGAGACAAAGCCGACGAGCCGUGAGGACGCGUGUUUGGGAGGGAGUGAGGUCUGAGGUCCUCCUGGUCUCAAGCAUCCAGUGCGUAAGAUGCUUACGUGUGGUUACAGAAAAGCCUGUAAUUUAUGUGCUCGUGUGAACCAGAAAUGAAUUCUGGGACUGCCGCAAGGAUUAACCCCGGGACGACCUCGGCUGCAAAGACACGGCUAGCUGCAGCUUCGCCAAAAAGAAGCCAAACGGAGGCCGUGCACCUGUCAAGCGCCUCAUGGCCUAAGUACAUGCUCUUCAUCGACCACUGUCCUUCAUUGGCACAUGCUCUUCACUGGCAGGAGGAGCAGCCACUGUCUUCCUCAAGGGCGGACGUGUGUUAUUACAUCUGAUAAGUUAUCACUCUCAAACAGAACUAAUUUCUUUAAAAUGGAAAAGACAAACUGAGCCAAGAUGUGCUGUGCAAACGAGAUCUGUUUAUUUGAGGAGUUUGAGUUUUGCACCGGCCACAGCUGCGUCUACUGAUGAUUACAUCAGGGAAUCCUGGGAGAAUCUUACUCCCCGCUUUACUUCUAUCAGUCUAAUAAGAAGCCAAAAAUGUGUCUGUCUAAGAAGAAGAAAAAAAACUAGUAUCCUCGCUCUGCAUUACACAGACAUAUUUUCACUUUUCAGUCUUUCUGGCUACGAAAUUGAAGAAUGUAUUACCA